AUCCUGGAAAACGCAGACAGCCAGUGGCUGAGAGAGCACAGUACGAGUUUUCUGAGCACAGCUCUCCACUUGUUCCACGGAGACGAGCAUCCCAGUGUGCAGCAGGCAGCAGCUCAAGUCCUCAGAGACAACUGGGUGGAGCUCAGGAAUCUUCGGAGCAACUAGGAGGUCCUCCAAAAACAUCUUUGAGUGCAGAAAGUGAGCAGCGGGAAGGCAAGACAGGCAAGGCAAGAGCAGGCAGUCCACAGAGUGUUACCACGGAGCCAGUGCAAUCAGCUGACUGAAAUAAAACAUUGCCUAUUGAACAGAAA